CCUAUCCUUACCCGCAAACGCGCCACACCGCGGUAAGGUCAUAAACCUGUCAUCGUUUACCCGUCGAUCUCGGCGAGGACUCCACACUGGUGUCAGAAGUGGGAUUGAAGUAACUUUUGGAAGUCAAACGAGAUCGCUUUCGAAGGGUAGACUAAAGUAAACUGGUUAACAUAUUUUAUACUUUGAGAUGGCUAAUGAGGCAGACUCGGGGACGAGAGCGGAGACAGCUUCCGGAGGAUCAUUCUCCUCUUUUACGGGGAUGAUCCCCACCUUCGCAGGGGAACCGACGCAGCGCGUCACGGACUAUUUCGAUACGAUUGAGGAGAUAGCUAAUUUAGCGUCGUGGACAGAACGACAAAAAUUAGGAAUCGCAAAAUGUAAACUCUCAGGGAUAGCGAGAGAAUACGCGUGGCGCGACUUUAAGAUUAAAGAUAUAACAGAUUACAAAGGCUUUAAAACGCAG
rnacentral:lncRNA from 1 species